GUGAAUCAUCGAAUCUUUGAACGCACAUUGCGCCCGCCAGUAUUCUGGCGGGCAUGCCUGUUCGAGCGUCAUUUCAACCCUCAAGCCCCAGCGGCUUGGUGUUGGGGACCGGCCCCGCGCCGCCCCCGAAAUGCAGUGGCGACCUCGCCGCAGCCUCCCCUGCGUAGUAGCACAAACCUCGCACCGGAGCGCGGAGACGGUCACGCCGUUAAACGCCCAACUUUCUUAGAGUUGACCUCGGAUCAGGUAGGAAUACCCGCUGAACUUAAGCAUAUCAAUAAGCGGAGGA
rnacentral:misc_RNA from 1 species